rnacentral:rRNA from 1 species
AAUACAUCGGAACGUGCCCGAUCGUGGGGGAUAACGGAGCGAAAGCUUUGCUAAUACCGCAUACGAUCUACGGAUGAAAGCAGGGGACCCUCGGGCCUUGCGCGAACGGAGCGGCCGAUGGCAGAUUAGGUAGUUGGUGGGAUAAAAGCUUACCAAGCCGACGAUCUGUAGCUGGUCUGAGAGGACGACCAGCCACACUGGGACUGAGACACGGCCCAGACUCCUACGGGAGGCAGCAGUGGGGAAUUUUGGACAAUGGGCGAAAGCCUGAUCCAGCAAUGCCGCGUGCAGGAAGAAGGCCUUCGGGUUGUAAACUGCUUUUGUACGGAACGAAACGGCUCUUUCUAAUAAAGAGGGCUAAUGACGGUACCGUAAGAAUAAGCACCGGCUAACUACGUGCCAGCAGCCGCGGUAAUACGUAGGGUGCGAGCGUUAAUCGGAAUUACUGGGCGUAAAGCGUGCGCAGGCGGUUAUGUAAGACAGUUGUGAAAUCCCCGGGCUCAACCUGGGAAUUGCAUCUGUGACUGCAUAGCUAGAGUACGGUAGAGGGGGAUGGAAUUCCGCGUGUAGCAGUGAAAUGCGUAGAUAUGCGGAGG